AAAAAGGAAGGGGAAAUGGGGAGGUGGAAAUGGAGGAAGGGAAGGGAACAGGAAAUAAAUGGGGGGAGUGGGGAGUGUGAGGGGAAAAAGGGAAGAGGGAAAAGAGAGAGGAAAAGAGGAAAUGGAGAGGGAAGGAGGAAGGGGGAAGUGGAAGGAAGAGGGAAUGGGGAGAGGAAAUGGGGAGGGAAGGAGGAAAAAGGAAGGGAAGGGGAAAUGGAGGGGGGAAAGGAAAGGAAGAGAGGGGAUGGGGGUGGAAGAAAUGGGGAGGGAAGGAGGAAGGGGAAGAGGGAAAAGGAAGGGAAGGGGAAAUGGAGGGGGAAAGGGAAAGGAAAAGAAGGAGGAAAUGAAAUGGAAGGAGGAAGGGGAAAUGGGAAGGAAAGGAAGAGGGGAUGGGGGAGGGAAGGAGGAAAAAGGAAGGGAAGGGGAAAUGGAGGGGGAAAGGAAAGGAAGAGGGGAUGGGAGGAAAUGGGGAGGGAAAGAGGAAGGGGAAGGAAAAAGGAAGGGAAGGGGAAAUGGAAAGAGGGAAAGGGAAAGGAAGAGGGGAUGGGGGGAGGAAAUGGGAAGGGAAAGAGGAAGGGAAAGAGGAAAAAGGAAGGGAGGGGAAAUGGAGGGAGAAAGGGACAGGAAAAGAAGGAGGAAAGGAAAUGGAGAGGGAAGGAGGAAGGGGAAAUGGGAAGGGAAAGGAAGAGGGGAUGGGGGGAGUAAAUGGGGAGGGAAGGAGGGAAAAGGAAGGGAAGGGGAAAUGGAGGGGGAAAGGGAAAGGAAGAGGGGAUGGGGAGAGGAGAGUAGGAAGGGAAAGGGAAAAGGAAGGGAAGAGGAAAUGGAAAGGGGGAAAGGGAAAGGAAAUGGACAGGGAAGGAGGAAGGGGAAAUGGAAAGGGGGGAAGGGAAAGGGAGAGGGGAUGGAGAGAGGAAAUGGGAGAGAAAGAGGAAAAAGGAAGGGGAAAUGGAGGGGAAAAGGGAAAGGAAGAGGGGAUGGGAGAAAGGAUGAGGGGAAGGAAAAAUGGAGGAAAAAUGAGAGAAAAUGAGGGAAAAAUGGAAUUAAGAGGAAAAAUGGAGGAAAAAUGAGAGAAAAUAAUGGAAAAUGGAAUUAAAGGGAAAAAUGGAGGAAAAAUGAGGGAAAAUGGAAUUAAAAAGAAGGAAUGGAGAAAAAAUGAGGGAGAAUGAAUAAAGAUGGAAGAAAAUGGGAAAGUGGAAUAAAAGUGAGGAGAAAUGGGGGAAAAUGGGGUGAAAUGGAAUAAAGGGGAGAAACGUGGAGGGAAAAUGGGAUAAAAAUGAGAGAAAAUGAGGGAAAAUGGGAUUAAAAGGGAAAAAAAUGGAGGAAAAAUGGAAUUAAAAAGAAAAAUGGAGGAGAAGUGAGAAAAAAUGAGGGAAAAUGAUGGAAAAAAAAUGGAUUUAAAAGGAAAAAAUGGAGGAAAAAUGAGAGAAAAUGAGGGAAAAAUGGAAUUAAAAAGAAAAAGUGAGAAAAAAUGAGGGAAAAUGGAAUUAAGAGGAAAAAAUGGAGGGAAAAUGAUGGAAAAAAAUGGAUUUAAAAGGAAAAAUGGAGGAAAAAUGAGGGAAAAUGGAAUUAAAAGGAAAAGAAUGGAGGAAAAAUGAGGGAAAAAUGGAAUCGAGAGAGAAAAAUAAGGGAAAAAUGGAAUUAAAAGGAAAAAAUGGAGGAAAAAUGGAAUUAAAAAGAAAAAAUGGAGAAAAAGUGAGAAAAAAUGAGGGGAAAUGGAAUUAAGAGGAAAAAAUGGAGGGAAAAUGAUGGAAAAAAUGGAUUUAAAAGGAAAAAUGGAGGAAAAAUGGAAUUAAAAGGAAAAAAUGGAGGAAAAAUGAGAGAAAAUGAGGGAAAAAUGGGAUUAAAAGGAAAAAAAUUGAGGAAAAAUGUGGGAAAAAUGAUGGAAAAUGGAAUUAAAGGGAAAAAUGUGGGAAAAAUGAGGGAAAAAAUGGAAUUAAAAGGAAAACUGGAGGAAAAAUGAGGGAAAAAUGGAAUCAAGAGAGAAAAACAAGGGAAAAAUGGAAUUAAAAGGAGAAAAUGGAGGAAAAAUGAGGGAAAAUGGGGGAAAAAUGGAAUUAAAAGGAAAAACGAGGGAAAAUGGAAAUAAAAGGAAUAAAUGGAGGAAAAAUGGUGUAAAAAUGAGGGAAAAUUGAAUGAAAAGGAAAAACUGGAGGAAAAAUGAGGGAAAAUGGAAUUAAAAAGUGGAGGAAAAAUGUGGAAAAAAUGGAAUUAUAAGGAAAAACUGGAAUUAAAAUGAGGGCAAAUGGAGUUAAAAACCAGUGGAAAAAUGGGGAAAAAUGGAAUUAUAAGGAAAAACUGGAGGAAAAAUGAGGGAAAAUGGAAUUAAAAGGAAAAAAUGGAGGAAAAAUGAGGGAAAAUGGAAUUAAAAACCGGUGGAAAAAUGGGGAAAAAAUGGAAUUAUAAGGAAAAACCGGAGUAAAAAUGAAGGAAAAUGGAAAUAAAAGGAAAAAAUGGAGUUAAAAAUGAGGGAAAAUGGAAUUAAAAACCGGAGGAAAAAUGAGGAAAAAAUGGAAUUAAAAGGAAAAACCGAAGUAAAAAUGAGGGCAAAUGGAGUUAAAAACUGGAGGAAAAAUGUGGAAAUAAUGGAAUUAUAAGGGAAAACUGGAGUAAAAAUGAGGGAAAAUGGAAUUUAAAACCGGUGGGAAAAUGGGGAAAAAUGGAAUUAUAAGGAAAAACUGGAAGUAAAAUGAGGGAAAAUGGAGUUAAAAACCAGAGGAAAAAUGGGGAAAAAUGGAAAUAAAAACUGGAGGAAAAAUGAGAGAAUAUGGAGUUAAAAACUGGUGGAAAAAUGGGGAAAAAUGGAAUUAUGAGGAAAAACCGAAGGAAAAAUGAGGGAAAAUGGAAAUAAAACAAAUAAACGGAGGAAAAAUGGUGUGAAAAUGAGGGAAAAUGGAAUGAAAAGGGAAAACUGGAGGAAAAAUGAGAAAAAAUGUGGGAAAAUGGAAUUAAAGGGAAAAACUGGAGGAAAAAUGUGGAAAUAAUGGAAUUAUAAGGAAAAACUGGAGAUAAAAAUGAGGGAAAAUGGAAUUAAAAACCGGUGGAAAAAUGGGGAAAAAAUGGAAUUGUAAGGAAAAAAUGGAUUAAAAAUGAGGGAAAAUGGAGUUAAAAACCGGAGGAAAAAUGGGGAAAAAUGGAAAUAAAAACUGGAGGAAAAAUGAGGAAAAAUGGAAUUAAAAACUGGUGGAAAAAUGGGGAAAAAAUGGAAUUGUAAGGAAAAACUGGAGUAAAAAUGAGGGAAAAUGGAGUUAAAAGCCAGUGGAAUUAUGAGGAAAAAAUGGAAAUAAAAACUGGAGGAAAAAUGAGGGAAAAUGGAAAUAAAAGGAAAAAAUGGAGUAAAAAUGAGGGAAAAUGGAGUUAAAAACCGGUGGAAAAAUGAGGAAAAAAUGGAAUUGUAAGGAAAAACUGGAGGUAAAAUGAGGGCAAAUGGAGUUAAAAGGAAAAACUGGAGGGAGAAAUGAAAGAAAAUGGAGUUAAAAACCGGUGGAAAAAUGGGGAAAAAUGGAAUUAUGAGGAAAAACUGGAGUAAAAAUGAGGGAAAAUGGAGUUAAAAACCGGUGGAAAAAUGGGGAAAAAAUGGAAAUAAAAUCUGGAGGAAAAUGAGGGAAAAUGGAAUUAAAAGGAAAAACCGGAGGUAAAAUGAGGGCAAAUGGAGUUAAAAACCAGAGGAAAAAUGUGGAAAUAAUGGAAUUAUAAGGGAAAACUGAAGUAAAAAUGAGGGAAAAUGGAAUUUAAAACCGGUGGAAAAAUGGGGAAAAAUGGAAAUAAAAACUGGAGGAAAAAUGAGGGCAAAUGGAGUUAAAAAACCGGUGGAAAAAAUGGGGAAAAAAUGGAAUUAUAAGGAAAAAAUGGAAUAAAAAUGAGGGAAAAUGGAGUUAAAAACCAGUGGAAAAAUGUGGAAAUAAUGGAAUUAUAAGGGAAAACUGGAGGAAAAAUGAAGGAAAAUGGAAUUAAAAACCGGAGGAAAAAAUGGAAUUAUAAGGGAAAACUGGAGAUAAAAAUGAGGGCAAAUGGAGUUAAAAACCGGUGGAAAAAUGAGGAAAAAAUGGAAUUAAAAGGAAAUACUGAAGUAAAAAUGAGGGAAAAUGGAAUUAAAAACCGGUGGAAAAAUGGGGAAAAAAUGGAAUUAUAAGGAAAAAAUGGAAUAAAAAUGAGGGAAAGUGGAGUUAAAAACCAGUGGAAAAAUGUGGAAAUAAUGGAAUUAUAAGGGAAAACUGGAGGAAAAAUGAAGGAAAAUGGAAUUAAAAAGGAAAAAAUGGAAUUAUAAGGAAAAACUGGAGGAAAAAUGAGGGCAAAUGGAGUUAAAAACCGGUGGAAAAAUGGGGAAAAAUGGAAAUAAAAACUGGAGGAAAAAUGAGGGAAAAUGGAAUUAAAAGGAAAAACCGGAGGUAAAAUGAGGGUAAAUGGAGUUAAAAACGAGUGGAAAAAUGAGGAAAAAAUGGAAUUAAAAGGAAAUACUGAAGUAAAAAUGAGGGAAAAUGGAAUUAAAAACCGGAGGAAAAAUGAGGAAAAAAUGGAAUUAUAAGGGAAAACUGGAGAUAAAAAUGAGGGCAAAUGGAGUUAAAAACCGGUGGAAAAGUGGGGAAAAAAUGGAAUUAUAAGGGAAAACUGGAGGAAAAAUGAGAGAAAAUGGAGUUAAAAACUGGUGGAAAAAUGGGGAAAAAAUGGAAUUAUGAGGAAAAACUGGAGUAAAAAUGAGGGAAAAUGGAAUCAAAAGCCGGUGGAAAAAAUGAGGAAAAAACGGGAAUAAAAACUGGAGUAAAAAUGAGGGAAAAUGGAAAUAAAAG